AGAUGAAGAACGCAGCGAAAUGCGAUAAGUAGUGUGAAUUGCAGAAUUCAGUGAAUCAUCGAAUCUUUGAACGCACAUUGCGCCCCUUGGUAUUCCAUGGGGCAUGCCUGUUCGAGCGUCAUUUUGUACCCUCAAGCUUUGCUUGGUGAUGGGUGUUUGUUCCGCUGCAACGCGUGAACUCGCCUCAAAUCAAUUGGCAGCCGGCAAUCUGGUGUUUGAGCGCAGCACAUUUUGCGCUCUUCGCUGUGUAUUGCGGGCGUCCAUGAAGCCUAUAUUUUCACGCUUGACCUCGGAUCAGGUAGGGAUACCCGCUGAACUUAAGCAUAUCAAUAAGCGGAGGA
rnacentral:misc_RNA from 1 species